rnacentral:rRNA from 1 species
GACGAACGCUGGCGGCGUGCCUAAUACAUGCAAGUAGAACGCUGAAGGAGGAGCUUGCUCUUCUGGAUGAGUUGCGAACGGGUGAGUAACGCGUAGGUAACCUGCCUGGUAGCGGGGGAUAACUAUUGGAAACGAUAGCUAAUACCGCAUAAGAGUAGAUGUUGCAUGACAUUUACUUAAAAGGUGCAAUUGCAUCACUACCAGAUGGACCUGCGUUGUAUUAGCUAGUUGGUGGGGUAACGGCUUACCAAGGCGACGAUACAUAGCCGACCUGGGAGGGUGAUAGGCCACACAGGGACUGAGACACGGCCCAGACUCCUACGGGAGGCAGCAGUAGGGAAUCUUCGGCAAUGGACGGAAGUCUGACCGAGCAACGCCGCGUGAGUGAAGAAGGUUUUCGGAUCGUAAAGCUCUGUUGUAAGAGAAGAACGAGUGUGAGAGUGGAAAGUUCACACUGUGACGGUAUCUUACCAGAAAGGGACGGCUAACUACGUG